CGCGGCCUAUCAGCUUGUUGGUGAGGUAAUGGCUCACCAAGGCGACGACGGGUAGCCGGCCUGAGAGGGCGACCGGCCACACUGGGACUGAGACACGGCCCAGACUCCUACGGGAGGCAGCAGUAGGGAAUAUUGGGCAAUGGGCGCAAGCCUGACCCAGCGACGCCGCGUGAGGGAUGAAGGUCUUCGGAUUAUAAACCUCUUUCAGUAGGGAAGAAGCGAAAGUGACGGUACCUAAAGAAGAAGCACCGGCUAACUAUGUGCCAGCAGCCGCGGUAAUACAUAGGGUGCAAGCGUUGUCCGGAAUUAUUGGGCGUAAAGAGCUCGUAGGUUGUUUGUCGCGUCGAUUGUGAAAAUCUGAGGCUCAACCUCAGACCUGCAGUCGAUACGGGCAAACUAGAGUGUGGUAGGGGAGACUGGAAUUCCUGGUGUAGCGGUGGAAUGCGCAGAUAUCAGGAGGAACACCAAUGGCGAAGGCAGGUCUCUGGGCCAUAACUGACACUGAGGAGCGAAAGUGCGGGGAGCGAACAGGAUUAGAUACCCUGGUAGUCCGCACCGUAAACGGUGGGCACUAGUUGUGGGAACCUUCCACGGUUUCCGCGACGCAGCAAACGCAUUAAGUGCCCCGCCUGGGGAGUACGG
rnacentral:rRNA from 1 species